GAAUCUGGAGACAGGUGCUGCAUGGCUGUCGUCAGCUCGUGUCGUGAGAUGUGGGUUAAGUCCCGCAACGAGCGCAACCCUUGCCUUUAGUUGCCAGCAGUUCGGCUGGGCACUCUAAAGGGACUGCCGGUGUUAAACCGGAGGAAGGUGGGGAUGACGUCAAGUCCUCAUGGCCUUUAUGACCAGGGCUACACACGUACUACAAUGGCCGAUACAAAGGGCAGCGACACUGCGAGGUGAAGCCAAUCCCGUAAAAUCGGUCUCAGUCCGGAUUGGAGUCUGCAACGUCGACUCCAUGAAGUUGGAAUCGCUAGUAAUCGUGGAUCAGCAUGCCACGGUGAAUACCGGUUCCCGGGCCUU
rnacentral:rRNA from 1 species